GGGAAGAAGAGGAGAGAGGAGAGGAGAGGAGAGGAGAGGAGAGGAGAGGAGGUGAGUGGAACACGCAGAGGGAGGGAGACCAAACCCCCUCUUUGCUGCGUUGAAAGCUUCUGAAUUUCAAGCAGAAAGUAGAAGGAGCCCCACACAGCAAUAUUCGUCUUUUCUUGGGCUGCGUGUGCAGAGCGUAGACAAUGAAAAUCUCCAUCCCCCUCCCCCAUGCUCUAGCCUACAAGAUUUUUGUUUCUUUCCUUCUCAACGAUGGAAGCCAUGUAAAAUCAAAUAUACAGAGAUGCGCAUUCAUUCUUUAAAGCACAGACUAGCAAACCAAACGAGCUGACCGCGGAUUACCCAAACGCGCACCUGCUGGGAGCGUUCUGGGGUCUCUGCACAAAACCUGCUUUUGAGCUCUUCGGCUUCCUCCGAGAGAGCUGGAGCCCGUCCUUCCCCCUGGCCCACCCAGCCGCAAGGGACGCUGUGAAAAGAGCCGCUGCCCACCGCCUCCGGCCCCGCUGUCCGGAGGACUCCGCCCAUAGAGGUCAACUCCCCUCACUCUUCCUCUUUCCAGUUCGCCCUCCCUCCGCCGAGCCCCUGACUCGGGUCUCCUCCCGACUUUUGCCGCAGAGAGUGCAUAUCUGCUGCGCUGCCCUUAACCUGCGCCGGGAGCAGACUCAGACCAGAUCUCUGUUCUCCAGAGCCGGAGGAAGCCCGAGCAAGCAGCCUUUUCUCCCUGCAGUAAAACCAUAGCCAGACCAGAUGCGCCCCAGCUCUCCCGGGACUCGGCAGGUGCUGUUGAGUUAAUUUUUCCGCCAUACAAAGAAGGAUGACCUAGCCCGCCCUGGGAUUCUGAUCUUUCCCCCAAAUUUCCCAACCAAAAUUGGGGUAUCAGAGGCAUAUCCGUGUGUUUGUCGGACAUACAAACAUGCAUGUUUAUGUUCGUUUUAUCUGCUAGAUUUCUUCUCCGAUGGCAGGAGAUGACUGACAAAGGUUUCUUCAGCAGAACACGCAUGGCGUGGUCCUUAAAGACUUGCUUUUCCUUACAGAUGUCUUAGGAAGGGAUUCAGGGCAAACCAACUCAGUUAAUUGCCUUCAGUAAAAUAACACGAUUACGAAAUUAGAUCUGUACCAGAGGGGUAAUUAACUUCGAUCCGUGCCAUCAUUUGAAAACUAGAUUUAUAGACGUAUGUAUGGAUUUUAGGUGCGCUGUAAAUGGCAUGCAGAUGUAUGCAUAAGUAUACGCAAGCUCAUGCCCCAUCUUCUCUUCCACCACGCAGACUAAUUAACGGCAACUCUAGCAGAUGUGACAGGAGGAGAGCUGAGAUGGAGCACUGCUCUGAGUUACGACCCUGGGGGUAGGGACUCCAAGCCGGAACUCUAGGGGAGGCUGAAGGGCAGAGAGGAAAGUGUGAUAGUUGCAGUGAGUCAGUUGCUUCUGGAUCAAGAUCAGAGACUCUGCCCUCCGUGUUCACAGCGGACCUUGAUUUAAUGUCAUACAAUUAAGGCACGCGGUGAAUGCCAAGAGCGGAGCCUACGACUGCACUUGAAGGACAUCAGAGAGACUCAGGGUCGGAAAGGGUGGGGAGAAACAAUUGCAGGCGUCACGGAAGGGAGCUAGAAUGAACCCAUCCUGUGCAGCAUAAGGACUCCUUGCAUUGAUUCAGAAUCUUUAGAAUGCAAGAGUCAUAUGUUUUUCAGCCAGAGUCCGGGAACCCCGCAUGCAUAUCCCCAAGGGGAAUAUUAGAGGUUUCAUUGACAGCUGUCAGGAGAACAGUAGCUCCCAUUGGUGCAAAUGGUCUAGAAAGUCCGCAUUCGGAAGCGCUGGCCUUUUCAAAACAGAAUGAGGUUGUUCUCAAUCCUGGGCUGAAUUGGGAAAACAAAAUAGGAGAGGGAGUCUAGCAUUAGAUAGCGCCCAGACCACAUUGCACAAGAAACCUCAAAUGACUCAGUCAUCUGUGGAAAUAGGAACAUCCGGUCCCCCAUAGCCCUUGACUUCUCCCAUUCUCUACCCAGUCUCAUGGCGGCCUUGUCUAGCUUUAAAAGACCAAGGCGAAGUCGCAAUACCCAAAUCAGUCAAAGUUGUCGAAUCACGGGAAAGACCAAGCCAGAAACUGAGACUUGGUAAAUUAUUCUAUUUGGAAGACCAUGAGGUAGACUUAGUUAAGGUAGGUCCACUCCACAACCUUGGAGCCUAAGAAAACCAAGGCUGAGAAUGAGCUUUGACGCAAGUCUUUGUUCUGAUGUGGCCUGCCUGGCCUGGGAACAAAGGCGAGGCUGGGCGAGGAUGAACCAAAGUGGCCGCGCCCUCCGCGCCUUGCGCUGUCCGUGGUGCUGACAGGACCCUCUUCCACCUUCUCCUCCUCUUCUUCCUCCUCCAUAUAAACCCGCAAGUAAGGCAAUAAAAUCGCUUCUUCCCUACUAUAAAACAUACAGGAUAUUAAGUAAUUUACAAAUAAAAAUUUGAAAUGGGAAGACAGUAAACAGCUAAACAGUAUUUUACUGAAACUGUCCACUCUAUUAUAACAAUCAGUUGGUUUGGGUUGAAACCCGAAUCCGAGUAGUGGACAAAACCUGAAAAAAGACAUGAAAUAGUAGAAAAAUUUGUUUUGUUUUUCUUAAACCACAACCCUGAAAACAGAGACACGAGGUUCUCAGCUGAGGAUCUUAGCGCAGAUGUGGUCACCAAAGGUACCUUUCAAAGGACCCCAGAGUGUGCCUCAAGAUAUAUUAAAGAGGAUAAUACUGGAGUGAUUAGCUGACCAGGGCAGGCAGGAGUAAAGCAGCCUGAAACCACUGUCUAGGCUCUCAGCGGGGAUCCGAAUAGGGCAGUCUUCCUAAAUGAGUUCUGAAGCCAAGACCCACAGAAGGACCGGCUCUCUGGUGCUCAGGAGCUGAUACUGAGCACCACCUCUCAAGGAGACACUGCGGGCCCAGAGGCCUGAAUCCCGCAUUGCGGGAGAAAUCAGACUGCAGAACUCUCCUCCUCAUAGCUACUCUGGACCGGACCUCUAGAGGCAGGGCAGAUUACCAAAUUACAUAUAAUUAAGAUUUGCCUUAGGACUUGUGGGUCAGAUGGGUCUGAAUUAAUGCAUCCAAUGUAUAUUUAAAAUGCUGAGCCUAUUUCAACAUUUUAACUUAAACAUCGAGAAUAUAUAUAAGCAAUAAAAUAUUAAGUUCUAUAGUUAAUCAUAUUUGCAAUGGAAAGAGAAAUAGGCAAUAAAUUGAUUUGCAUCCAGCCUAGGCCCAAGAAAGAAAAUAUUCCAUGUUUGAGUAUCUUUAUAGAUUCACAUCAUAAAUGCUGUCAAACAUCGGCCAUAGAUAAACUGAACCAGGUUGUACAAGAGAGACAGUGGCAGCAAUUUUUAUGCAGGCCUAGAAAUGGGCUAUAUAUGGACAAUGGCCUAAAAGAUAUGUUUUUAUAACAUUUAUUCUCUUAAACCUGAAUGACGGAAAUGUAUCCACUGACUUAGGAAAUAAAAGAGGUCAGAAACAAUAUCCUUGGUGGUCUAAUUCCUCCUCACUCCGUCCUGAAAGGUGGAUUUUAUUUGUCUUCUGAUUUUAAAACUCUGUAAAUUACCACUUUCAUAUGCACAAAUUUCAGUUCUGUAUUGAUUUCACACAAUACGGGGAAGGGGGAAUGGAAUUUGCAAAACUGUGUUGGGAAAAGAGCUAUCUCAAAUACAAAGAAAACGGCUUUAAGAUGUUCUUCUUGUGUCAGUGAAAAACAAUCACCAGAAUUGGAAAUGAGUCUGAAGCAUUGCAGGCUGUCACAGAGGUUCCUAUAUCCUUCCAGUAUUCAUCCAGUUGUAUUGAUGAACUCUACCCAUAGUCCCUUGAGUAUUUCACAAAGUAAAAAGGGUCUAAGGCUUCAAAACAGUCCUCUUUGCAUUGUUGCAAUUCAUAUUACAUAAUAAGAACACACUAAUACUCCCCAACCUAAUCCUAUUUGUUUAAAAUCGUCCUAAACGCUGGUUCCAGAAAGUUUAAUCAGUUAAAAAAUAUAUUUUCUAAAUAGAAACAAAAUGUGUCAUAUGAGAGAAUUACAAAAGCAUGGGAACAAAUACAUGAUUAAGUCAUCUGGUCACCAAGAUUAAAUCCAGCGUGGUUUCUGAUUCAUCGUGUUUCUAUACUUUUAAAACUAUUUAUUUUCAAUUUCUUUAAAAAAAUAGGCAUCCAGCCUAAUGUCCAUUACAAAAUUUUCCUGCUAUGAAAUUCUGUGCUCAGCAGUUUUCCAGCAAAACAACCCAGGUGGACAAUUAGAGAGCUUUAGUACAGAGGACCAUGGGAGUCCUUCAGCAAUCACAACUUUCAUCUAGUGGUCUGAAAUUAGAGCUUCUCGGAAUAAUUUAGGAACAGCUUGACCCGUUGAGAUGCUCAGGGACAACCCUCUUGGGAAAUAGCUUCUUUCCUUCCAGGGAACAAGAUGCUAGCCCAGCGAACAGUUAUCUGAUGUCAACAAUGCCAGAGCGCCCUCUGCUGGUCCCCAAGAAACAGCGCACUGGUUACAGAAGCCAGAUGGUAGGAGUUUCAGUAAGCCCUGGAAACAUUAAGCUCUUAGGAUCAUUUAAUCUGUGGAAUUUAAAGGCUCCCAUCAUAUUCUCCGCCUGAAAGGCCACCCGAUUUUUAUUUUGAGGGCUCCUGGGAUGGUUAUCUUAGAGGUAGCGAGGAGUCAUUGUUUGAAGUUGACUGAGAUUCUGUUGGUUGCUUUCUAUGUCUUUUUUUUUUUUUUUUUUUUUUUUUUUUUUUGCAGUUUUAUAGCAAAAUAUGAAACUGUAAAUCUCAGGAAAAAAUCAUUCUCAUAGGCAGCUGAAUAUCAAAUAAUUUUCAUUUAUUUUAUCCAUAACUAAAAUUUAAUAAAAGGAAAUAUUUUAAUUAGAAUAAAGAUACCAGGAACAGGGUGUUUACUUUAUUUUAAAGGGUGUUAAAACAAAAAUACAGCCUUACAUAAAGAAUGAUUGUGUUGAUUUGUGUUAAUUUUACUCUAAUUUUCAAAGACUACACUUUUGAAUAAGAAAGCGAGUUAUGUUUGAGGAAGAAGCUGAAAGUUUUGAGUCAUAUUAAUUAAUAUAUCCAAAAAUUCACCUCUGAAAUCUUCCUACUGAGUUAAUAUCAGUACUCAGGUGGCAAAGAUCCCAGAAAGUAGACUACUGUGAGUAAAAUCAUCAGGAAUGCAGAAAUGGAAGCAGCAUGUGUAAAACUCUAAAUGUUAUUUGUAUUUUUCUGUAUGGAACAAUAUAUUAUAAGAUGAAAUGGAGGCUUCUUAAAAAAUUAAAACCCACUUUUGAUUUCACAUCUUAUGGGGCUUAUAUUGAGCAAAAUAAUGUAUAACUGUAUUGUUUCAUCACUGUGAAUUAGAAAUUCCAGCCUAUUAUGCGACAGACACAUCCUCGCUGCGAGAACUGCUACUCACUACAUCGUGCUGGUAUAAUAAAAUGCUUCUAAUUAUGUGGUUGUUAAAUACAACUUCUAAAAUAAAGUUCAGUUUAUUUUAUGA